GCAAAGGUAGCAUAAUCACUUGCCCUUUAAUUGGGGGCUUGUAUGAACGGAAUAACUUUACUGAACUGUCUCACACAUAGAACCGAAAAUUUAUAUUCAUGUGAAGAAGCCUGAAUCUAAAUGAAGGGCCAAAAGACCCUAUAGAGCUUUAUAGGAAACCAGACUAACUAACUGCAAACCUAUUUCGUUGGGGCGACGAUGGAAAGUAACCCUCCACAACUAAAUUUAUCUCAAAUUAUCUACAGACCCUCAAAUCAGACUAAGAAAAAGCUACCUUAGGGAUAACAGUCUAAUUCUCCUUAAUAGUUCACAUAUACAGGAGAGUUUGGCAC
rnacentral:rRNA from 1 species